UACGUAGGGGGCAAGCGUUGUCCGGAUUUAUUGGGCGUAAAGAGCGUGUAGGCGGUUUGGUAGGUCCGCUGUGAAAACUCGAGGCUCAACCUCGAGACGCCGGUGGAAACCAUCAGGCUAGAGUCCGGAAGAGGAGAAUGGAAUUCCCGGUGUAGCGGUGAAAUGCGCAGAUAUCGGGAAGAACGCCCGUGGCGAAGGCGGUUCUCUGGGACGGUACUGACGCUGAGACGCGAAAGCGUGGGGAGCGAACAGG
rnacentral:rRNA from 1 species